rnacentral:rRNA from 1 species
AAUGAACGCUGGCGGCAUGCCUAACACAUGCAAGUCGAACGAGACCUUCGGGUCUAGUGGCGCACGGGUGCGUAACGCGUGGGAAUCUGCCCUUGGGUUCGGAAUAACAGUUAGAAAUGACUGCUAAUACCGAAUGAUGUCGUAAGACCAAAGAUUUAUCGCCCAGGGAUGAGCCCGCGUAGGAUUAGCUAGUUGGUGUGGUAAAAGCGCACCAAGGCGACGAUCCUUAGCGGUCUGAGAGGAUGAUCAGCCACACUGGGACUGAGACACGGCCCAGACUCCUACGGGAGGCAGCAGUGGGGAAUAUUGGACAAUGGGCGAAAGCCUGAUCCAGCAAUGCCGCGUGAGUGAUGAAGGCCUUAGGGUUGUAAAGCUCUUUUACCCGGGAUGAUAAUGACAGUACCGGAGAAUAAGCUCCGCUAACUCCGUGCCAGCAGCCGCAGUAAC